AACUUUUCCUACUGGCAUAUUUGUAUUUAUAUAUAUAUUUAUAGUAUUUAUAUAUUUCUCUUUUUCGAUUUUUUUUCCUUUUUAUGUGUUUUUUCUCUCCAGUUUUAUUCAGGAGGUAAAUAGGAGAGAGAGGGGAUUUUUUUUUAUUAUAACAGAGCCCAGUGGAUUAUUGUUGGGGCAAGUAGAGAUUAUUGUUCAUUGUGAGAAUAUUUUUAUAGAAGUUGUGGUUUCUAAAAUUAGGGUUGCAUGAGCUUUGCAUGGAGGAGAUGUUUUAGGUCGUUGAAUGGCUACAAAUUCUCUAGUCAAAUGUCGGCCUUGAUAUUAAGAAUUAUUCACCACAAGAUGAUUUUGAUCAUGUCCCUGAUCAAGAGGUGUAACAUCGAUUACUAAAAAUAAAAGUUAAUGUAAGGAUGGAAACUUUAGGUUAUUAUAAUCUUAUUAAUUUCAGGAUUUGAGAGAACAACACAUAUGUUUUCGACAAUUCAUUUUAAUAUUAUUAACUAGUGUUAUAUUCCGAAAGUAAAAGCUUCUCAUCGAGAGUACUAAUCUCAUCCUUUAAGAAGUUUUGAUCAGCUAGUCAGACACUAGAAUGAAUUAUGUAGAUUGUGCUAGUAAGAAAAUGUGACCUCUGUGGCGGUACCCACGCAUGAAUGGUAUAUUAGAUUUAGGUCAACUAACACAGCAGAAGAUCUAGUUUUUUUUUUGACAAAUCAGCAGAAGAUCUAGUUGCUACUCACUAGAUUGACAAUCCAUUAUAGCAUUGACAUAUAUACAUCAACAAUUCUAGUAUCAAUAGAUGGUAAUUGUUGAUAAAGCAGUGUUGACACUUGACAGGUCCGGAAUGGAUAAGCAAAGAAGCCAUGGUUUGAGGUUUUAUGAAUCAAAUAUAUACAGCCCAAGCUAUGGAGAAAAAAAAUGAUAUUUUAAAAAAGAAAUUGGUAAAAAGAAAUAUGAAAGACAAAAAAAAAACACAAUUCUUUUAUUUGAGCUUUUUGAUGUGAAUUAAGAGAAGCAUCCUUGCCGCCGCCACCACCGUCGUCGCCUCUAUUAACAUAGGUGACAACUCCUAUGGCAACACCCACCACUAGAAGGACGGAAGCCGCAGAUAUCACAACUUUUCCUACUGGCAUAUUUGUAUUUAUAUAUAUAUUUAUAGUAUUUAUAUAUUUCUCUUUUUCGAUUUUUUUUCCUUUUUAUGUGUUUUUUCUCUCCAGUUUUAUUCAGGAGGUAAAUAGGAGAGAGAGGGGAUUUUUUUUUAUUAUAACAGAGCCCAGUGGAUUAUUGUUGGGGCAAGUAGAGAUUAUUGUUCAUUGUGAGAAUAUUUUUAUAGAAGUUGUGGUUUCUAAAAUUAGGGUUGCAUGAGCUUUGCAUGGAGGAGAUGUUUUAGGUCGUUGAAUGGCUACAAAUUCUCUAGUCAAAUGUCGG
rnacentral:lncRNA from 1 species